CUAAGUUUGAUGGCGACCGGCGCACGGGUGAGUAACACGUAUCCAACCUGCCGAUGACUCGGGGAUAGCCUUUCGAAAGAAAGAUUAAUACCCGAUGGCAUAGUUCUUCCGCAUGGUAGAACUAUUAAAGAAUUUCGGUCAUCGAUGGGGAUGCGUUCCAUUAGGUUGUUGGCGGGGUAACGGCCCACCAAGCCUUCGAUGGAUAGGGGUUCUGAGAGGAAGGCCCCCCACAUUGGAACUGAGACACGGUCCAAACUCCUACGGGAGGCAGCAUG
rnacentral:rRNA from 1 species